rnacentral:rRNA from 1 species
GAUACUGCCCCGGUUAACGGGAGGAAAGGUGGGGAUGGACGUCAAGUCCUCAUGGCCCUUAUGCCCAGGGCGUACACACGUGCUACAAUGGGCGGUACAAAGGGUAGCGAUGCCGCGAGGGUGAAGCCAAUCCCAAAAAGCCGUCCACAGUUCGGAUUGGAGUCUGCAACUCGACUCCAUGAAGCCGGAAUCGCUAGUAAUCGUGGAUCAGCCAAGCCGCGGUGAAUACGUUCCCGGGCCUU